rnacentral:rRNA from 1 species
UACGUAGGGGGCGAGCGUUGUCCGGAUUUACUGGGCGUAAAGGGUUAGUAGGCGGUUAUAUAUGUCAGGUGUAAAAAGCUAUGGCUUAACCAUAGUAAGCACUUGAAACUGUAUGACUUGAGUGCAGGAGAGGUAAGCGGAAUUCCUAGUGUAGCGGUGAAAUGCGUAGAUAUUAGGAGGAACAUCAGUGGCGAAGGCGGCUUACUGGACUGUAACUGACACUGAGGCUCGAAAGCGUGGGGAGCAAACAGGAUUAGAUACCCCCGUAGUCCCUGA